rnacentral:tRNA from 1 species
CCUCCUUACCUUAAAGACUACAUUGAUGUAGUGUCCACACAGAUUAUUUAGUUAGAAGAAGAUGAGAUAUGGGUCUGUAGCUCAGCUGGUUAGAGCGCACCCCUGAUAAGGGUGAGGCCGGUGGUUCAAGUCCACUCAGACCCACCAAUAUAUAUUCCUGGUUUGAACAUAUCUCAUGGAUUUAUUUUGGGGCUAUAGCUCAGCUGGGAGAGCGCCUGCCUUGCACGCAGGAGGUCAGCAGCUCGAUCCUGCUUAGCUCCACCAAUUCCUAAGUGGUUUGCAUUUUUAAUGCCGUCUAUUUAGGAAUUGGUUUUUUUAUAAAUCAUAGCUCUUUUAACAAGUUUGGAAGCUGACUAGUAAAAUUAAUUCUAACGGAGAGUUAGAAAGAGUUCCUCAAAAAAGCCAAAACACCAUUCAAGUUGUCUGUGUUAUUUUUAAAGAAUCCGGGGCGGAAAACCAAAGAAACCCUUGGGUUUGGUUCUCUACCCAAUAAGCUGAAGA